rnacentral:rRNA from 1 species
GACGAACGCUGGCGGCGUGCUUAACACAUGCAAGUCACGGGGGCUCGCAAGGGCAACCGGCGAACGGGUGCGUAACACGUGAGCAACUUACCGAUUUGUGGGGGAUAGCCGGCCCAACGGCCGGGUAAUACCGCAUACGCUCUUUGGGUGGAGUCACCUGAAGAGGAAACCUCCGGGGCAAAUCGAGGGGCUCGCGGCCUAUCAGCUAGUUGGUGCGGGUAACGGCCCACCAAGGCGAUGACGGGUAGCGGUCUGAGAGGAUGGCCAGCCACAUUGGGACUGAGAAACGGCCCAGACUCCUACGGGAGGCAGCAGUGGGAAUCUUGCGCAAUGGCCGAAAGGCUGACGCAGCGACGCCGCGUGUGGGAGGAAGCUCUUCGGGGU